rnacentral:rRNA from 1 species
AGCUCCAAAAGCGUAUAUUAAAGUUGUUGCAGUUAAAAAGCUCGUAGUUGAAAUUCUGGCUGUAUUGGGCCUGUGCACUCGUUGUAAAGGUACCAGCAGUCAUCCGCUUGCAAGUACAUGUCCUUCCUUUACCGGUAGGCUGUAUAAGUAAGCAUUUUACCUUGAGAAAAACAGAGUGUUCCAGGCAGGUUUGUCCGGAAUGCGUUAGCAUGGAAUAAUAGAAUAUGACUGAAGUCGAUUUAUUGGUUUAAGGCUUUAGUAAUGAUUAAUAGGAACAAUCGGGGGCAUUGGUACUUGUCAGUCAGAGGUGAAAUUCAAGGAUUUGACAAAGACUAACUGAUGCGAAAGCGUUUGCCAAGAAUGUUUUCA